GAUGUAGAACGUAGCGAAAUGCGAUAAGUAAUGUGAAUUGCAGAAUUCAGUGAAUCAUCGAAUCUUUGAACGCAUCUUGCGCUCCUUGGUAUUCCUUGGAGCAUGCCUGUUUGAGUAUCAUGAGCAAAUCUCAAAGUCAAUUCCUUUUGUUAAUUCAAUUUGGUUUUGCUUUGGACUUGGAGGUCUUGCAGAUUUCACAGUCUGCUCCUCUUAAAUGCAUUAGCUGGAUCUCAGUAAUUAUGCUUGGUUCCACUCGGCGUGAUAAGUAUCACUCGCUGAGGACACUGUUAAAAAGGUGGCCAGGAAAAUACUGAUUGAACCGCUUCUAACGGUCUAUUAAGUUAGACAAUUACCCUUAAGUUUGAUCUCAAAUCAGGUAGGACUACCCGCUGAACUUAAGCAUAUCAAUAAGCGGAGGA
rnacentral:misc_RNA from 1 species